GCGGGGUCGGGCCGGGGGUCGCGGCCGUCCCCGGCCGUGCUCCGCUGUGGGGGCCGUGCCCACCGCGCGGCUUCGGGAAGGAUCUGCCCGUGGGGCCGCCCCCGGAGCUUCGUGUUCCGAGUGGGCUCCGGGGGCUUACGGGGGUCUCACACACCAUAAGGUUCAGCGGCUUUUGCGAAUUUGUGUUAUUUUUACUUAAUUUGCCAGCACUGACAACACAUCAGGGAGGGGAAGCAGGUUCACGCAUCUGGGGAAUAGCUCAGUUCCUAAAAUCUGAGCUGCUCAGGAAGGAUAUAUGAGGCUCAUAUCCCACUCUGUGUGGAUAUAUGGGAUUUGCAUCCCCCUCGGGUUGCAUAUAUAGGAUUUAUAACCCCCUUGGGGUGGACAGAUGGGAUUUAUAUUUCCCUCUAGUUGGAUAUAUGUAAUUUAGAUCUCCCCAGGUGGAUAGAUGGGAUUUAUAUCCCUAUGGAAAUUAUUUUCCUAUUUAAAAUUAAUAAUGGAUGAAUGCUUCUCUGUUGAAGCUUUUCUCCUGGAAAAUGAUCCUUGAAAAGAGCCUAUGAGCCACUGAUAUCCCUCAUGCCCAGGCGGGACAAUUGUGGGACAAGCAGUUGUAAAUAUUUACAUAUUGACUCUUUUAACUUUGGAGACACAAAUAACCGGAAACAUUUUGGCAGCAUGGUGACAGAAUCAAAAAAAACAAAAACCAACAACCCAACAUGGGAAUCUAGGUUUGUUACAGCUUUCUGUAAACUCCAUGGAGAAAAUAUUUCCCUGAGAUGGUUUGAUAAGGAGCUGCUGGAAAACACCAGAGACCUGGAGAGCUUUCUGCUCGCUUCCUACCAGGAGGGUUGGAAAUCUCACUGCUGUGUGAUCCUGAACCAUUUUCCGGGGCGUUCUUGGCUUUUCUCGAUCCACCUUGGUGGCAGCACAAAGCCAGGAGGUGGCACUGCCAGGCAGCGCGUCCGGUCUCGCUCUGAGCCCGCUUCCAGCCUUUGUAAAUAACAAAAGUUUUCUUCUUUGUACCUGCCCUGGCAGCUCGGGAGAUUCCCCCGGGAUCCGGGAGGGCUCAGGAGGGAUCCGAGGGCUCUGGGGAUUUGUGACCACCACGAGUCUCCUUCAGCAUCCCUUGACUCAGCCUCGUUUGUCCUGGGUACACCUGGGCCAAUUUUCCAUCUCUCCUUCCCGUUAACUCUCCCAAGGAAAAGCAACACAGGCACCGAGUGUGGGAUUGCACUUUUUUCUUCCCCAAAAAGGAAUUUAACUCUGAUUUCCUGACCAAAACCACCCAUUGCUGUGAUGGUUUGCUCUCCAUGGUGGGGUUGGAGGUUUUCUGGUCCAUCUUCUCCCAGAUAUUGUGGGUGUUUGUGGAAAAUAAGCAGUUCUGGAAGAAACAAAGUUGGAAGCUCCUGGGUUUAGAGGCUGGAGAAGAUCCCUUGAUGGGACAAGCACUGCACACAUUGUUUGCAUUUGUUAUUCCAGUUCUGGAUUAUUUACCAUGAGACACCAUGCACCAGGUGUUGGGGGUUUUAUUGGCAGAGGUUCUUAUUUACAGCAGAAUCCGAGGAAACAGGAAAGGCCUGAAGGAUUGCUGAGCUGCUCUCACCAAAACCUUCAGCCACAAAAUCUCAGCAGAAAUUCCAGAACAGAGACAACACCUCAUGGAGAGGAUUUCAUCAUCAACACCUGGCAGUGUCCUGGUCACCAUCCCAGCCACAAGGUCUGGAAUGAAGGAAGAAGGUGUGGAUGUGCUGGAAGUGAGAGAUGCAGUGGUGGGGAUGGAGCCAGAGCUGGGCUGGAUCUCCCCUGGGAUCAGCCUCUCAUCCAGGAUCCAUCCAGCUGUUCCCCUGGGAUCAGCCCUUCAUCCAGGAUCCAGCUGUUCCCCUGG